rnacentral:misc_RNA from 1 species
GUUCAAACCAAUGCAGAGAGCCAGCCUUUCAUUCGAAUUAGUCAAAGCAAUAUUUAAUGAACUCAGCCAAGAAUCUAGAGUUCUAUCAUUAAUAAAGAAUGCUCAAACUAAUUAACAAUUUAAUAAUCUCUGCUUAAUUAAAACUUUAGAGGCAGCAAGCUUUUCAUUUUCCCUUGGAUCAUGGAAUAAUUUCUUCACAAACUUUCAGUUUAAAAUACCCUCCUUGCACCUCCCUUACUUUACACUUCCGUAGACAAAUUUCCUCUUUCAGGGAAAGAUAGAGAAUGGCUCCUUCUCUACUCAAGCUCACUACAAUUCUCUCAAUCUUUGUACUACUGAUCCUGCAUACUCAGAAAUCUCUAUCCACCGAUAUCGAAGACGAUGAAGAGUAUGUUCUGGACACUCCUCUACCCAAUCUCAGGUCAAGAAGCAGGUUCUUAGCCAGGGUAAUAAAAAAAGGUGCACAUUGCAAUCCCAGUACUUACAACAUAUGUAAUGGAGUCUCAGCGAACAAUGGCACAAGCUUGUUGCAGUGCUGCAAGACGCAUUGCAGGAAUGUUCUAGGAGAUGAAAACAACUGUGGCCACUGUGGUAACAAGUGCAGCUUUGGAAAGCUCUGCUGCCAAGGAAGUUGUGUUAGGGUUGCAAAUAAUAAUGAUCACUGUGGCAAGUGCAACAAAAUAUGUGCUCCAGGGACUUCAUGCAGCUAUGGAUCAUGUGGGUAUGCUUAAAAAAAUUAUGUAUUUAGUGCAUAAUACACACGCGCACACACACACACAUAUAGAUGGAUUUAUAAAGAAAGAAAUGAAUGAUAAUUUGUCAGAGAUUAUCAGUCGAUAUUUUCUGGCUUGGGCUGCAUUUUUUUAUAUAGGGGAGAGUUCAGAGUACUAGUUUAAGUGCAUGCUUUUGUACUUAAUUAACAAGCUUGAGUUUUUGUAUUUCUUCAGUCAGCAGUAUACAUGAACAAGUUUGUAUCACUAAUAAAGAAAAAGACGCCUGUUUCAAGGUGAUUCUUAAGUUAUGUUCGUUUGUAGAAAGUUAUCAUUGAAAAACAUAUUGAAAGAUAUUGAUUUUCGACUCUUUUUUUAUUAUUAUUUAUUUGAAGGUAAGAUUUGAAUCCUGACACUUGUUCUACAAGCAAGUAGUCUAUCAUUAAGAGUAAUAGUUAAGACACUAUGAGAUAAAAUGUCUUAAAUUACUUCUCUCGUACAUUUGUGGACUCAUGACUCAUAUAAUAAGGUGGGAGCAUAUAUUGUGGGUGAAUUUUAGCAAGACAAACUCGUAGUACAUUAGUGAAAUUAAUAACAGAUGCAAAUUUUCUCUUGGUUUAAGUGGCAGUAUAACACAGUUGGCUUCCAUUGUCAUCUUUAUUCUGUGUAGAAAAACAGGCAGAAAUGGCACGAUGGGGAUAGGAAAGGAGGGGUGCAGAACAACAGAAGGUUGCAAGACUAAAUUAUCAAUGCUUUCAAUACAAAAUGAAAACAAAAUUUACAUCGUCAAAAAGUUAAUAUAAUCUACCCCUGUAUUUGUGACAAGUGAAUCAGAUCAUUACCCAGUUCAGAACUCUAUCUUACAAAGGCUGAUAUUGAAGUAAAUCAUAGUUCAAGCUAUGCUUUAUGUUGAUGUUUUACAAAAGAACCAUGGCUAGUAAGAAAAACCCUUGCUUUACGUUAGAAGAAGCUGUCAUCCACAAGGAACCAACCAGAGUAAACGAGUGAUAUUAAAUUACCACCACAUGCUGGUGCUCACAGAUAACGAAUGAGCUCAACUGCAAACUUUCCUUUCUUUGUAGAAUUUAUUUCUCCUAUCUGAAUUAAAACAAUUCAUGCAUCAGAAUAAUGGCCUAAAUAAUAAAAGCAGUUCGAACAUAAAUUUCAGUAGAUGACCUUAAGUCUUCCUUUUCCACUAACUGAAACAAUAUCACCAGUUUUCAGUGUAGUAUUAUUUUUUGUGAUGGUAGUCCAAUUCACGCGCACAUCCCUGUUACUGCAAGGAGAGAAUUUUAUGCAUAUCUUGACCAAGUUGGGCAUCCUCACCGUUAAACCAUCUAUGACUCGCAAAGAACAUAUUAAUAAAACUUCCCAAAUAAAAUCGACACUCCCAACUGCCAAAUUGCUAUUCAUCUAGAAGUAAGGUAUCACAAUGACUUGCUAUAUAUUGAAACCUGAAUAACAGAGAUGUAUAUCAUUCUAAAGGCUGAAACAAAUGGUUGUCAUGUCAUAAUUUCUAAUGUUUUGAGAGUUCACUUUUUUUUUGGGUUAUGGAUUUAUUGGGUUCCCACUAUUUUCUCUGAUUCAAAUUCCAAUUGUAAUCAAGACCCAAAAAAAACAAAGUGAAACCAGGAAAUUCCAAAACUUAGGCUUGUUGAAAAUUCUAUUAAUUUAUUAUAUGACCAUAACUUCAACUGAAAUGAUUUCAACAAAUUUAUAGUUUAGCUACGAGUACCAAAUAUCCAAAUGAUCCAAUAGACUUGUGCAGAGUCAUCAACCAAAAAAGAUGAUUAGGAAGGUGUUUUCUAAGGUUAAAAACGAGAUCCAGCUAAAGUUGUUUAAUCAUGCAGUAAAUUUUUAAAGCAAUUGGUACAACAAGUUUGUGUCAUGUAACCAGGUUCUUAAUCACAGAAAAGAAGAGAAAUUAGAGAUGAAUUAGAGAAAGAAAGGAAAGGAGGAAUAGAAGAAAGAAAAGAGGUAAUUUGUAUUGAUAUCAGUUCAGGAAUAUCCCUACAUGCAGCCUUCUAGAUGUAUUCAUACAGCCCAUUCUACUAUUACAGUUACAGCCCAUUCUUUAAUUCUAACUGUUACAACCCCCCCGCCACUUGCUAACUACUGUAACUGCUCCUAUAUGUGACAGUCUAUCUACAAACCUAACUGAUAAUGAUUGACAAAAAGCUAUUCACUGGUGGAAAUAGAGGAAAACAGCCAAAAAUAAUUCAAUUAUUCAACAUGGAUACAUGGAAGCAUAUCUGGUGGAUGCAUGCGUAAUAUUGCUUAAAUUGAAUAUCUGUCUUGACAAGCAGCAAAAGUGACAGCAUAGUACGUUAUUGUAACUUACAGCCAAGUGGAAAAUCAUGGGAUAAUGCCCAUAUAAAAAAGACAGGUUGUACCUAAUCAAAUCAACUAGUUUUGACCGUGAAAUCUUGAAUCCUGCACUAGCUAGGGCAUCAACCCUAAGUGAUGUUUCAAUGGUUUUAAAUGUCUUAGUCCUUGGAGGUUCAUAUUCAAGAGCAAGCAAUGGUAUUCUUGCACAAGAAACUGAAACAUUACCAACCUUGUCCAGUGACGACAUAAUAAAGUCAACAAGUUCUGGAACAAGAAGGAUUUGAGCCCCUUUCUCUCCCUGCAAGAUAAUAUCCCCAACCUUUUCCCUGGAGAUCCCUGUACCUAGAAUUGCACCAAGGAAGUCACCAUGAGAACAGGGUUGGAAUGAAAAGUUCCCUGUCACACUCAAUGCUGCAAUUAUAUCUGGAUCAUUCGUCAGCACUUCUGCAUGUCCAACAGAAAGCCGGCAACGUUCAGCCUGUGGAUAUCCUCCCUGAGCAACUGCUUUAAUGUCAGUUAGUUUUUCUAAUUGAAGCAUUGAAUCCUUCAAUGUUGGUGGGGUGAGAAAAUCUGUAUGGAGAACUUCUCUUCUUGAUGAUGCCCUUCUCGCCAUGUCGACAAUAAACUUCACUUCUUCAUUGACACUUCUGUCUCCCACACCCUUGAGUAAAUCAUUAACUUGCCCCUUCAUGGCUUGUGCCAAGUGACAUAUCCCCAAGGCUAUUGCAUAUUGUAUUGGGAGAUGUAAGCAAUGUUGUUAGAUACAAAUCAAAGUCUUGCAUACACCAUAAACCCAUAAAUAGUAAGCAAUAUUUGAUAAAAGAUAUAAUAGAUAGUUACAAUGCAUAUCUGCCUAUUCCCAAUUUCCACUAUUCAUGUUUAAGAGUUCAAUCCCAGAACUGAUCCAUGAGGCUUUCACCAAACGUUUCAGCACUUAGGUUAUCUAAUAUUGCACCAAGUGAUCAUUAUGAGGAUUUCUGGCACAUAAAAUUAACAUAAUUUAGUAGAAUUUGGAGAAACAUUAGGAGACUUGUGUCAAUCUUGAAAUUGACCAUUCUGAUCAGGUGUUUAGGAAACCUCUAUUAUUAGAGAAAAUCCAACAUUCAAUUAUCUAGCCCCCAUACUCCAGUUAAAACAAAUUUCUCAGAAGGCUUACGUGAUUCUUCAUCAUGCUUCAGUAUUCCAUUGCCUAAACAAUUUCCUCGCUUAUCUUCUAAGCGACCCCCCUAACCCAGCCCAUAAAAAAAUGGUGCUCCAAUAAUACUUGCAAGAUUGUUAGAAAACUAUAAGAAAGCGCAUAACUUACUUCGAUUAUGCUCAGAGUCAAAUUGCAGCGAUCUCACUCGGCAGCUAUACCAUAUAAUAUAGGCAACAUUGGCAACAAUUUCUUUAUCGACCAAAAUGGGAUUGAAUGAAAACUUCAUUAUACUAUAUCUAAGUUAGGCAUUUCAUCAAACACCAGUACCCUUUCAGUUCAGCUUAAAGAAAAAUCCAACAACAGUAAUUUGCCCUAAAUUAACUAAAUGGGUUAGUGAUGACGCAAGUUUUCUCCUAAAAUCAGCACAAAAACAUGCUUUAAGUGAGUGAAGGAAAAUCUAAGCAUCGGGCAUGAAUAAUCAAGUCAUAAACCUGAGUUUCUCAUAGGAGCGAUAAGAGGAAGAGAGCGAGAAGUUCCAUAGAAAGAGACAAUGGUGGUUCUGCGAAGAGGGUGAGAUAGUGCUAAAGCUUGAAAUGCUCCUCUCAGAAGCCAGGUAGUCGUUGAGGAGCCGCCGGCGGCCAUUGCUAGUACACGAGCUGCUCACAGAGGAGCUGAGCUAGUGGUGUAGAAUU